rnacentral:rRNA from 1 species
UUCGGGCGCCGGCGAGUGGCGAACGGGUGAGUAACACGCGGAGACCUAUCCUUUGGUGGGGGACAACAGCUGGAAACGGCUGCUAAUACCGCAUACGCCCUACGGGGGAAAGAUUUAUUGCCGAAGGAGGGUUCCGCGUCGGAUUAGCUAGUUGGUGGGGUAACGGCCUACCAAGGCGACGAUCCGUAGCUGGUCUUAGAGGAUGAUCAGCCACACUGGGACUGAGACACGGCCCAGACUCCUACGGGAGGCAGCAGUGGGGAAUAUUGCGCAAUGGGGGAAACCCUGACGCAGCGAUGCCGCGUGGGUGAAAAAGGCCUUAGGGUUGUAAAGCCCUUUCAGUGGGAACGAUAGUGACGGUACCCACAGAAGAAGCCCCGGCUAACUCCGUGCCAGCAGCCGCGGUAAUACGGAGGGGGCGAGCGUUGUUCGGAAUUAUUGGGCGUAAAGCGCGCGUAGGCGGUUUAUCAAG